rnacentral:rRNA from 1 species
CGAGUGGGGGACAACUUACCGAAAGGUGAGCUAAUCCCGCAUGACAUCUCGAUACAUAAGUAUUGCGAUUAAAGAGGGGGAUCCCUUCGGGGACCUCUCGCUUGAGGAUGAGCUUAUGCCCUAUUAGCUAGUUGGUAGGGUAAUGGCCUACCAAGGCGAUGAUGGGUAGCCGAGCUGAGAGGCUGAUCGGCCACACUGGAACUGAUACACGGUCCAGACUCCUACGGGAGGCAGCAGUGGGGAAUUUUGCGCAAUGUGCGAAAGCCUGACGCAGCGACGCCGCGUGAGGGAUGAAGGUCUUCGUGAUCGUAAACCUCUGUCAGGAAGGAUUAAAUAUACGGGUGCUAAUACCAUUUGUAUUUGACUUAACUUCCAGAGGAAGCCCCGGCUAACUACGUGCCAGCCGCCGCGGUAAUACGUAGGGGGCUAGCGUUACUCGGAUUUAUUGGGCGUAAAGCGAAUGUACGCGGUUUGUUAAGUCAGGCGUGCAAACCCUCAGCAUAACUGAGGAAUGGCCUUUGAUACUGCCGAACUUGAGGACAGGAGACGCACAGUGGAAUUCCCGGUGUAGCUGCUGGCAAUGCGUAGAUAUCGGGAGCACACCUGGAGGCGAAGGCGGCUUUCUGGACUGAUCCUGACGCUGAGAUUCGAAGGCUAGGGAAGCAAAUAGCAUUAGAUACCACUGGAAAGUCGUAGCUGCUAACCGAUGGAUACUAGAUCUUGCUAGAGUGGACCUCGGUCGUAGCUACGCGUUAAGUAUUCCCGGCAUGGCGAGUACGGAUCGCACUGC